GGAGAAUUGAUAGGUACUCUGAUGGGCUUUCUGCCCUACCAGAUGUCAUGGUAACCCCACUGAUAAUGCUGCCAUGUCAGCAUAGCAAAGGAAUAAGUGUCAGGUUCAGCUCUGCCUGCCCUUGGGCUGCACUUUCCUUCCUCCUCUUUCAGCCAAAGCAACACCUUGCUGAUGUGCUGGGUCGGUGUGUGGUUGAGCCCCAGCCUGAAGCACUGAUGGAGCACCUGGGGAAAGGACCCGGUCAGCCCUGGGAGCACAGGUGAAGGCAAUGCAGCUGUGUGAUAGGAAGGGGUGUAGCCUGGCUGCACCUCUCUUAGACCUCAUUGAAGGGCUGACUGCCCCAGGGAAGGAUCUUUGGUUAGAGAUCCCUCCCUUAUGGAGUCUUUCCUGUGAGCUGUGAUCUUCAGAGAUGGGCUCUGGAAAUCUCUGGACUCGUUGUCAGGAAGGUGAGCACAAAUAUGACUUUUUCAGCACUGAAGGCAUUAAUGGCAUUCAGCAAAGUAGACAGCAGGAGCUGGAGGCUCAGAAGAAAUACACUGUGCAGGCUGUCAGCAUGGAGACACUGAGCUCAACUUCACCACGACAGGCAGCCCCCAGCACAGCUGUAACAAAGAGGUGCUUAAAGCCAGACAGAAUCCAGACUGCCACAGGAGGAGAAGAAAGGAAGACGAGAAGAAAGAAAAUGAGAUGGGAUUUUCCUUAUCUUCCUCUCGCUGUGGGAACUGCUGAGCACAUGCUGGCUGCAGGGGAGACCCCAGAGUGCUUCCUUUCCUUCGUGCUGUGCCCACCCUGUGGAAUACAGAGCCAAUUUAGAUGGCAAUAUGUGCUAAACUGUGCAGGGAGCUGAAGCCGUGUGAGGAGCACAGGGGGCAUACAAAGCAGAGGAUGAGCACAGAUCACAGCAGAGGAAGUUAUCUGGGAUUUCUUCCAUCUUGUGGAGACCCCGUGAUCCGCUUGCCAAUGCCCUGCACUGAACAAAGCUGCUGGCUUUCUGUGGGUGGCAGUGAAGGAACGAUUUUUGCUUCUCUCCUCCCUUCUCACCCCAAGAAAAUAAUGUUUGGAAACACAUCUGAGUCGCAGAAGUCUAAAACUGUCUGGAAAUCCCACCUUCAACCACGUGAACUGCAUUUCACUUUUAUUUCACUUUAUUGGGUCUUCAUUUUAAUAUGAUUAGUUUAUAGGAUUUCUUGACAGAGCAGUAAUAGAAC
rnacentral:lncRNA from 1 species